rnacentral:rRNA from 1 species
UUAGAGGUCUGGUCUGCCCAGUGUAAAAAAUUAACGGCCGCGGUAUCCUGACUGUGCAAAGGUAGCAUAAUCACUUGCCCUUUAAAUGGGGGAAUGUAUGAAUGAUUAGACGAGGUUUUGACUGUCUUUUUUCUAAAAACUGAGAUUUCAGUACCUGUGAAAAUGCGGGUGAAAUCAUAAUGGACGAGAAGACCCUGUUGAGCUUUUAAGUUAUACAGCAGUAUGAAUUAAAUUAGAUAAUUCAUUAUUUAUAAAAUACACAUAUCUGGUAAGCUUUUUGGCUGGGGUGGCAAGCAAAGGAAUUAAGCUUUGUUUAUCAAUUGAAAUCUUAAUGUUUGGAGACAGUAUAUGUCAAUAAACUUAAUUUGGAUCCGCUAACUGAGCGAUUAAUAGAAUAAGUUACCACAGGGAUAACAGCGUUAUUCUUCUUGAGAGCUCGUAUUGACAGAGGAGUUUGCGACCUCGAUGUUGGAUCAAGAUUCCUGGUGGUGUAGCAGUCU